GGGUAGUGCAAUGGUUAGCAUACGCUCCCGGAAAGAGUGAGAUAGAUCUGGGUUCGAACCCCGGCUGACGCA